GAGAAUUCUACAGAUUACCAGAUGUAACCAUGCAGGUUGCCAAAGUCAGCAAGCUGCUCAUGAUGAUGGAAAGUGGACAAAUUACCAGAAAUUCUGUCAAUUCGCUAGACGAUAUUGAUGUUGACGACGAAUGUAUUGAAGAUGAACAAUAUUCUUCUGAAUCAUCAGAAAAUGAAAAUACUGAAGACCUUGAAACUCUACUUCCCAGUACCAGUCAACCAAAAUAACAGACAAAAAAAAGGGUACUUCAAAUACCAGGAGAACAAAACAAGCAGCCAAAAAGCAAUGGAGUGAAAACGAAAAUGGAGCUGUUCACAGACUCUUAGAUCGUUUUUUGAUAAUGGGUAAAUUACAAGGGAAAAAAGAAAUACUUGCAUGUAUUGAGAGUGAGAAUGACCUUCACAACAGAAGUUGGAAAAAUGUCAAAGACUUUUGCAGGAAUUUAAUUGAAACAAAAAAAGCGACGGGGACUUUUAACUUAAAAAAUAUUACACAUAUAAUGCACGUUUAGGAGAAUACGUUUAAGGAUGAAGUUGCCACAUGUGUUUUGUGUGUUUUCUUGUUCUAUAUACUCUUUUCGAAAGCGAUA